rnacentral:rRNA from 1 species
GCUUACGACCACACCGGCCUGAGUACGCCUGAUCUCGUCUGAUCUCGGAAGCUAAGCAGGUCGGCCUGGUUAGUACUUGGAUGGGAUGAACCGCCUGGGAAUAACAGGUGCUGUAAGCU